GCACAGAGUUAGCCCGUGCUUAUUCUGCGAGAUAACGUCCACUCUCCAGUAGUAUUAAUACUGGGAGCCUCCUCCUCGCUUAAAGUGCUUUACAACCAAAAGGCCUUCUUCACACACGCGGCAUGGCUGGAUCAGGGUUGCCCCCAUUGUCCAAUAUUCCCCA
rnacentral:rRNA from 1 species